rnacentral:rRNA from 1 species
GUGUCAGCAGCCGCGGUAAUACGGAGGGUGCAAGCGUUAUCCGGAUUCACUGGGUUUAAAGGGUGCGUAGGCGGGCAAUUAAGUCCGUGGUGAAAUACCUGAGCUUAACUUGGGAACUGCCAUGGAUACUAUUUGUCUUGAAUGUCGUGGAGGUUAGCGGAAUAUGUCAUGUAGCGGUGAAAUGCUUAGAUAUGACAUAGAACACCUAUUGCGAAGGCAGCUAACUACGCGAAUAUUGACGCUGAGGCACGAAAGCGUGGGGAUCAAACAGGAUUAGAUACCCUGGUAGUCCACGCCCUAAACGAUGAUUACUCGACAUUGGCGAUACACAGUCAGUGUCUGAGCGAAAGCAUUAAGUAAUCCACCUGGGAAGUACGACCGCAAGGUUGAA